rnacentral:rRNA from 1 species
AGAGUUUGAUCCUGGCUCAGAACGAACGCUGGCGGCAGGCCUAACACAUGCAAGUCGAACGCUCCAGCAAUGGAGAGUGGCAGACGGGUGAGUAACACGUGGGAACCUUCCCUUUGGUUCGGAAUAGCCCAGGGAAACUUGGGGUAAUACCGGAUAAGCCCUUACGGGGAAAGAUUUAUCGCCGAAGGAUGGGCCCGCGUCGGAUUAGCUAGUUGGUGGGGUAACGGCCUACCAAGGCGACGAUCCGUAGCUGGUCUGAGAGGAUGAUCAGCCACACUGGGACUGAGACACGGCCCAGACUCCUACGGGAGGCAGCAGUGGGGAAUAUUGGACAAUGGGCGCAAGCCUGAUCCAGCCAUGCCGCGUGAGUGACGAAGGUCUUCGGAUUGUAAAGCUCUUUUGGCGGGGACGAUAAUGACGGUACCCGCAGAAUAGCCACGAUGCCG